GAUGAACGCUGGCGGCGUGCUUAACACAUGCAAGUCGAACGGUGAACCCGGAGCUUGCUCUGUGGGAUCAGUGGCGAACGGGUGAGUAACACGUGAGCAACCUGCCCCUGACUCUGGGAUAAGCGCUGGAAACGGCGUCUAAUACUGGAUAUGUGACGUGAUCGCAUGGUCUGCGUCUGGAAAGAAUUUCGGUUGGGGAUGGGCUCGCGGCCUAUCAGCUUGUUGGUGAGGUAAUGGCUCACCAAGGCGUCGACGGGUAGCCGGCCUGAGAGGGUGACCGGCCACACUGGGACUGAGACACGGCCCAGACUCCUACGGGAGGCAGCAGUGGGGAAUAUUGCACAAUGGGCGCAAGCCUGAAGCAGCAACGCCGCGUGAGGGAUGACGGCCUUCGGGUUGUAAACCUCUUUUAGCAGGGAAGAAGCGAAAGUGACGGUACCUGCAGAAAAAGCGCCGGCUAACUACGUG
rnacentral:rRNA from 1 species